rnacentral:lncRNA from 1 species
AGAGUCAGGCCUGCAACCCUCCACCAUCACCCAAUGCCCGGUCCCUGUGCCCAGCUCACCUGUCUCUCCCCAGAUGGGCAGGUACUCAUCCUGCUGAAUGUCCAGCAUGAUCUCCAGCCCGUUGCCUGUCCCCCCCUUGACCGUGGUGAGCAGAGGUUUGCCAUCCUCGCCUGAGUUAAACAUGUAACACUUCCCAUAUUUUGUAAACACCUGAAGGAGAGAAGAGAGAGAGAGAGAGAAGCACAUGGGUAACUUCAGACGGGGGUCCAGAGAUUGGCGAGACCCCAGAAAUCUGACAGCAGGACCCAAGCGUUUUUUGACUGCAUCACUCUGGUUUCCUAGCUGGACUUCAGGAUUCCAGAUGACCUUCUCCAGCCCAUCCUCUAAGGUAACUGAAUUGGGGUUCAGGAAGGAGAAAUGAACUGCCCAAGGUCACACAGGAAGUGGCAAAGCCAGGACUCAAUCAAGGUCACCCAACUUCACAUUUAAGGUUUGUUCAAUCCUACCAUGAUUCCUUUCACCUAAACAUUAGGAUGUGCGAGAAGAAGCACACUUGGGUAUCAAUGCAUCAUUUCCAAAGUGCACAGUGACUAAGAUCCUAGGGCCGGAGGUCAAACUGCCUGGGUUUCAACCUCAGUUCUGCCAUUACCAUGGCUGUGCCAUUUACUUAACCUUACUGUGUUUCAGUUUUCUUACCUGUAAAAUGGAAAGAAUGAUAAUAAAUUCCAUACUUCUUUAUUAUGAAAAUUAAA